rnacentral:lncRNA from 1 species
GCGUUAUACCGUUGUUGAGGGAAAUCUUUGCAUGGGUGCUUGUUUUAUUUACUUUGUUAUCAUACGUAGUAUUAACCGGUGUUGUUGUAUAUACUCCUCCCUUGGAUGUAGGGCAUAUAUGCUGCUGCGUCUGGUUUUGUCCUUGUUUAAGCACUCCCAUUUUUUCUUCUUGGUUCAAUAUUUUAUUUUGGUAGGCCGUUUUUCCAUACUUCCAGCAUGUAGCACCAAGCCAAUGGUAGUUCCAACAGUAGUCUGUCAUUUAGCAGCUGUUCCUUCUCUUGUCUUUUCAAAAUUUCUGGGGUUUCUGUCAUUAAGGCUUGG